UACCAGCACCCCGAGUGGUCGGGACGAUUAUUGGGCCUAAAGCAUCCGUAGCCGGUUUUACAAGUCCUCCGUUAAAUCCAACUGCUUAACAGAUGGGCCGCGGAGGAUACUAUAAGACUAGGAGGCAGGAGAGGCAAGCGGUACUCAGUGGGUAGGGGUAAAAUCCGUUGAUCCAUUGAAGACCACCAGUGGCGAAGGCGGCUUGCCAGAAUGCGCUCGACGGUGAGGGAUGAAAGCUGGGGGAGCAACCGG
rnacentral:rRNA from 1 species